rnacentral:rRNA from 1 species
AUUGAACGCUGGCGGCAGGCCUCACACAUGCAAGUCGAACGAGUGGCGGACGGGUGAGUAAUGUCUGGGAAACUGCCCGAUGGAGGGGGAUAACUACUGGAAACGGUAGCUAAUACCGCAUACCAUCGGAUGUGCCCAGAUGGGAUUAGCUAGUCGGUGGGGUAACGGCUCACCUAGGCGACGCUCCCUAGAUGGUCUGGGAGGAUGACCAGCAACACUGGACCUGAGACACGGGCCAGAUUCCUACGGGAGGCAGCAGUGGGGAAUAUUGCACAAUGGGCGCAAGCCUGAUGCAGCCACGCCGCGUGUAUGAAGAAGGCCUGCGGGUUGUAAAGUACUUUCAGCGAGGAGGCGUUACUCGCAGAAGAAGCAUCGGCGAACUCCGUGCCAGCCGCCGCGGUAAUAC